rnacentral:lncRNA from 1 species
UGCUAUUUGUUGCUGACUGGCGAGGAGGCAAAAACAGCACCAUGUUAAAGCCACAUUCUUUGUGUCCCCUCUGAUCAGGAGUGAGCAGCGAGUGGUGGCAGUGUGGAGGUGGGGUGUGCAUAGGGGAACCUGCAAAAUCGAAGGAUGAGUGGAGCCGCUGUGCAGCCCACUCCUGCCAUGAAUUGGGUAGGUCCCUACUCAUCUGUCAUUCCCCCAAUCCUCCCCCUUCCCUUUCUUAAAGAUGGGCACUGUAUUUGCUCUUUUCCAGUUCUGUAGCUGAGAUAAGACCAAAUGACAGCAAUGUUUCCAAACAACCUUAAAAUCUUUGAACUUGUCACUUUUUGACUGCUCAAAAAUUCAUUACUAAUGCACUCUAAAUUAUAACUUUUCUUCACCAGAUUUUGAGACAAGAUUUUUCUGUGUGUGUCUGUCUGGAUGUUAUUGAUGUCAUCUCAUGGGAGGACAAAGCUACAGCCAGAGAAAGUGUUGCCUGAAACCUGCUUAUAGCAGCUGACCAAAUUUUGACUAACUCUAACUCAAGGCUUUCUGUGAGGCACAGGAAAAGUUGAUGAACCCUGCAAAAAUUUCCAAUUUCCUUACAAAGAAGAAGAAAAGGCGUUAUUAAGCAAUCCUGACAAGAGUCCUAUUCAGGUCUCAGUCUGCAGGUCCCUCGCACUCCAUGAUUCUGCAAAACAUCAGUCCUCUUUUGCACCCGAAUCUUUCUUCUACAAUGCAAAUCUAAAAGCAGUUCUGAUAGGUCUAUCGUGCUGUCCCGGUGACUUACUCUGGGGCACACUGGAAGCUGAAGCCAAACUUCAACUGAAAAUAGUUCAAAGCAUGCUGUUGCUAUUUCUUAAGCACCACCAGCAAACUCAGCACAGUAUGGAAGUCCCUGCCCCCAGGGAGCUUACAGUCUAAGCAGACAAAAAGAAGAUAGGGAGGGUCUUCACUGGUUUCACUGAUGUUUGAAUCAAUCCCAAAAUACGCUGGGAAGCCCGGAACAGAGAGUCCAUUUGGUAAGUAAGUCAUCGUCUCAUGGUCCAGCUUGGCUGGCUAGGGUGCCAAACCAUCAAAAUCACUUCCUUAUUAGGAAGUAUAUGUAUAAUCUGCUCCUUUCUUGUUCUCUUCUGAAACUCAAUGUUCCCAACAUAGUGGUGCCAUUUAACAUUACAUAUCUCCCCUAAACACCUGCUAUCAAAUGCAUCAAAUCUUUUCUUGUCAGCUUACGUAAUGCCCCAGGUCUUUGCAGCAUCGAGCAAAACUGAUACCACACAGCUGUUGUAGAGUCUUAUUUUUUGUUUUGCGGACAUGUCGCUACCCCAUACUUUUGCCCUUGAAUUUAUUUACAUUGAUCUUCACCUUUAUACCAGGCGAGCUAAAAAGGACACCAAAUAAAAUCCAGAAGAAGUGGUCCA